AUCACUUCUUGGCCUUUAGGCUAAGAUCAAGUGGAGUAUCUGUUCUUAUCAGUUUACUAUCUGAUACAUCCUCUCUCUGAGGACAAUAUAAGAUACUUAAUAAAAGCUUGUUGAUUGAUGGAUUCAUAUCAGAAGACUCUUUGGUCUUUUUUCUGCCUUUUGGUAGAGCUGGGUAUCAGGGCAUUACCU